rnacentral:misc_RNA from 1 species
AAAGAAAGAAAGAAUGAAAACAAUGUCUGUUGUUCUUUCAGUCAUAUUGUUGCUGCAAUUGAUCUGCAGUAACUAGCUUAAACAUUGGAACUAUACAUAGAAUCAAUCUCAUGAUUGAGGUACCAAACAGAAUACAAAAUUAAGAAAAAUUAUAUAGUUAAAUACCUCAUUGAAUUCAUUCCAUAACCCUGGACGUUUCUUUAUAUAUUGCUGAGCAUUUUAAACUAUUAAAUUUUGCAAAAGAGUUGUGAUUAUUUUAGUUGUAAGAUACUCCUCACUUUUAUUGUUCCACCAGGCAUUGCACAUUGCGGCCAGAUGCUAGUUGGCUUCUUUAAUGUAUGAAUAUCUUGAUGAUUUUAGAAUACCUUUGUUUAAAUUUGAAGUCUAUGCUUAAA